CACAGGCAGGACUGUGCUGGUGACUCCGGGUGCGGCUGUCCCUGUGAGAGUCCCGCUGUUAACAGGCUGUUCAGGCAAACCAGCUGUGUGUGCAGGCUGAGCGGGCCUGGCUGGAGCUUGCAUUGGGAAGAAGGGCUGUGAAAUGUGAAAGGCUUCGGCAGCAGCUCACAGUCUGCUCUUGGGAGGGUCAGGGGCGAGUGUUCGUCUUGCAGGCAGGAGAGAUAGAGCACCAGCCCUGUGUCUGGGUGCUCCUCUGCUGCUAAAAACUGGGCCCAGGAGUUCAAAAUAGGAACUGACCCCGUCCUGACCAAGAACCAGCUCCCGUCUUUCCUCAUCAGGAGCAGCGGGAUGGCGCAGUUGGCCCGCUGCGGGUCCGGGUGGGACCUGUGGCCCCUCAGGCAGGCUCACACUGGCGGCGUGGGGCUGGGCAGCGUCCCACGAGGGCUGUGCGCGGAUCUCAGCGAGGGCAGGCGGCUGCCGGCACCGGGGGACGGCUGAGGGCUCACGGCAGCCACGGGCGAGGGCUCCGCAGGGACAGGAGCGGGCCGCUGUGGGGGUGCGGAUUUAAAGGGCAGCCAAGUGAGCCCGGGGGAGCUGUGACGGGAGCGGCAGAGCUACUAGGACCCUUUUUGGACAAAAUUAAACAGCACUGUCAGUGAAAGAUGCAUGUGGGCUUUGGGGAGUGUUAAAUUGCCGUCUCACUGGCGCAUCGUGUGGGGAGCGGGGAGGGCUCCGCAGCCUCCGGGAGCACUGGCAGCUCUGAGGGAUCUCUGCCGCAGGAGGCAGCUGCGGCAGUCUGGGGCUCUGGGCACAACCAGGCCUCCCUCGCUCUUACUAGGGCUGAGGGAUGAUCACACUGGAAAGCACAUACCCCGCUGAGAUGCUUUGUACCAUUACAAAGACAGACAUUUCAGAAAUGGAACUUUGUUACCACAGGAGUGUUGUAUACCACCACAUAUAAUGGAAUUUCUCAGUUGGUAAAUAGAGCACUCCCCCAAACAGAGAGUAGCAGCAAAGGGCAUCCAUUACAGCACAUACCUGAAAGUUUGCUGUUCUGCUCAAGAUUCCCGUGGAAGUCUUCAGCCUGCUGAGGGUGCUGUUCGUCACAGGGAGACUUCAACACUGCCUCCAUCACAAAAUGAGUCUCAACUGAAAAAAA